rnacentral:lncRNA from 1 species
GAAUACAACAAGAAAAACAUAGAGAGAAAAACAACAUUUUUUUGUCCUUUUAUUCUCUAAAUUCUGGUGUUUUAUGAAAUUACAUGAGAGAUAAAUUAUGUUUAGGAGAUUGGGUUUUAAGUGGGAUUGCUUGUGACCCCUCGAAUCUCUCUUGGGAAUUGAACUAGUGCGGUUUUGCCAGUUUAUUCCAGUUUAAUUUUCGAUCAAUUGCUUUUGUUUUUCGAUUUCCAUUUCUUUCGAGAAGAGCAAUGCCAAUUGUGUUCCACCUUCUUUAUUUGGAUGCACGAAUAUUGAAGUAUUGUUUUAACCUUAGGGGGCAACGUCUACUACACGAUUACACCGAUUAGGGUGAAUUUGCUUCUAAGGCAGUGGUUCUUCCAUAUGGCACAGUGAUUACUAUUUUAUUUACACUUAGUUUGGUUUCCUGUUAUAGCACUAACAAUUUUGUUUUACAAUAAUAUGUUUCCAACAAUAAUUACAGAUAUUCAUUUGAAGAUAAAAUCUUUACAAAAAAUGUACAAUUGUGAGAAGAAGAAAAAAAACCCCAAAACAAAAGAAAGAAAAAGAUUAAAUUUCAAUUCAUAAAUGAAUGGCCAUAUUUAGGGAUCAAUUAAUUAACUUUUAAAACGAUAAAAUUGUUAAUAGCAAUAGCCAAAUGGGUGCAUUAAUUUUUCAAGGUAUUUAAUGGAGUGAGCCUAUUAAUUAAUCCUUCGCAUUUUGUAGGUUCAUUAAGGGGUAGAUGCUGACCAUGAGUUUUAAAGUUGUUCCAUACCCAAAACGAAGAUCGAACCAUCAACCACUGAUUAAACUAGGAAAAACUCUUACCAUCUCACUUGUCUCUCGUGGUUAAAAAAAUAAAUUUUUCUUAAUGGGUUGAAAAGUUAUAUUACCUCAUGUAAAAAUUGAGAAAAAAAAUCAUUUCUAACCAAAUUAUAAUAAUAAUUAAUGAAGUCGUCCCUAAAAUCAAUCAUUUUAAAAACAAAUUAUUCUUCAAAAACCAAUACUUUAAAUCUUUUUGGGUAAAAUAAUCUAAUUAAAGGAUGCUUUCUUUUUACAAGGGCAUGGCAUUGACAAGCCCCAUGUGUCUAGAUUUUAAAUAAAUAAAUAAAUAAAUAAAAGACAAAUGAAAAGGACAUGCAUUAAAAACAUUGCAUGAUUUACC